AUACGUAUGUCGCAAGCGUUAUCCGGAAUUAUUGGGCGUAAAGCGAGUCUAGGCGGCUUGUUAAGUCAGAUGUGAAAAUGCGGGGCUCAACUCCGUAUUGCGUUUGAAACUGGCAGGCUAGAGUACUGGAGAGGUGGGCGGAACUACAAGUGUAGAGGUGAAAUUCGUAGAUAUUAGUAGGAAUGCCGAUAGUGAAGACAGCUCACUGGACAGAUACUGACGCUACAGCUCGAAAGCGUGGGGAGCGAACAGGAUUAGAAACCCCAGUAGUAC
rnacentral:rRNA from 1 species